UUGUUAAUAAAGGGUGAAAUCGGUUUUUUAAGAUAAGAAGUGUUGAAGAUGUAAAGCUUAAAUUGAGGUUGUUAAGUUAAAGGUAUGGACCAGGAUUAGAUACCCUGUUACACUUUAUUUAAAAUUUAUGGUACCUGGGUAAUAAACAGUUAUUGUCUUGAAACUCAAAGGAUUUGGCGGUAAUUUAGUCUAUUUAGAGGAACCUGUCCUAUAAUCGAUAAACCACGAAGUAUCUUACCUUAUUUAGUAGAGAUCAGUUUGUAUACCGUCAUUAUUAGAUAACUUUAAUAAAAACUAGUUGUUGUAAUAAUUUUUAAUAUAUUAGAUCAAGGUGCAGCCAAUAAUAAGGUAGAGAUGGGUUACAAUAAAAUAAAUGUAUAACGGAUUAAUAAAUGAAAUUUUUUUUAUGAAGGUGGAUUUAAUAGUAAGAAUGAUUUAAUAAGUCAUUUUGAUUAUAGCUCUAGAUUAUGUACACAUCGCCCGUCGCUCUCGUUAAUUAAAGC
rnacentral:rRNA from 1 species